AUGAACGCUAGCGGCAGGCCUAAUACAUGCAAGUCGAGGGAGAUUGUUGGAUUCGUCUGACAUGAAACCGGCGCACGGGUGCGUAACACGUAUGCAACCUACCUUUAACUGGGGUAUAGCUCAGAGAAAUCUGAAUUAAUCCCCCAUAAGACUACGACAUGGCAUCAUGAUGUAGUUAAAGCUCCGGCGGUUAAGGAUGGGCAUGCGGUACAUUAGCUAGUUGGUGAGGUAAUGGCUCACCAAGGCUACGAUGUAUAGGGGGUCUGAGAGGAUGAUCCCCCACACUGGCACUGAGAUACGGGCCAGACUCCUACGGGAGGCAGCAGUAGGGAAUAUUGGGCAAUGGAUGCAAGUCUGACCCAGCCAUGCCGCGUGCAGGAAGAAGGUCCUCUGGAUUGUAAACUGCUUUUAUCGGGGAAGAAUAGGUCUCUUGCGAGGGAUUGUGACGGUACCCGAUGAAUAAGCCACGGCUAACUACGUG
rnacentral:rRNA from 1 species